UUCAAUCAAAGUAACGGAGAAAGGGGGAACCCAAAGGUUCUGCGCCGUUCGGCCAUCAUUUCAUCACUGCGACGAUGAAUGACGACCUUCGGUGACCACCCCCUUUUUGCUCCUUCAUUCGAUCCGGCAUGGAACUCAUUGAUUUAAGCCCCGAAAUCUCAUCUCCGACUUCAGUUUCAGCGAAGGAGACAAGGUCUUCAAUGGCUCGUAUGCAAAGGUAAAGUUUCACUCUCCCUCUUUUAUUUUAUUAUACAGAAACAUGUGAAAACGAAAGAAAUAUGAAACAGAUGCGAAAAAGAAAAAAAAAGCACAAGGCGUUCGAAAAGAUCACCUUCUUGUUCUAUUGCUUUCUUAUUGAUUUGCUGUCUGUAUUUGUAUUUGUGUGUCCCUCCCCCAAAAAAACUUUACAAUAAAAAAUCAAUAGGCUUUUAUAGCCGAAUGUAAAAAAAAUAAGUAAAAAUGAAAUACAAUUCUUCUUUUUUCGUCUUUGCUGUUUUUGUCUGUUCUCCUUUGCAGGUACCAGUACGGGGCUGUGCGUUGGCCAUUGGCGCGAGGUGUACGGGGUGGUGCUAGCAUGUGUACGGGAGGGUGCGUGGCGCCAGGAGGAUGCUGGGGUUGCUGGUUGCGGCGCAUGGGAAGAACCCUAAGGUUCUAAAAUUUCUAGGCCACUUCGGGUGUUCAUAUUUAGGCUGUAAGGCUAAUGGUUUUUUUGUAAUGGGACUAAAGUAUUAGUAAUGGGGUCAUGCUAUUGGGCUUAUGCUAUGUAAUUGGACUUUAAGUAUUUAAGGGACUGUUAUGAUUUUAUUUAUUUAUUUAUUUAUUAUAUAGUUUUGGGAUUUCUUUAGCGGGCCCGGGCCAAAAUUGGUCACUAAAGCUGCCCCUCUUUGCUCAUUGUCGUGUAACGAGAAUAAAGCAAAGACUAUAAAUGGGCCAAUUUUGCCGGGACCUGUUGAGCCUGGACUUCUUGGCGCUUCUUUUCUUCAAGUAGCUUCAGUAUGCUCCACUGCAACUUCAGGGAGACAUGGUUCGUGUGUUUAUUAUCCUGCUCUACUGCAACUUCAGAUAGAUAAGGAUUGUGACUUUGAUUUUGCUCCACUGGAACUUCAGGGAGACAAAAUCUUGCAAUCUUCAACCUGUUGCUCUACUACUUAGAGGGUUAAGGCUCGUUUUCUCUAACCUGCUCCACUGGAGAUGAGAUCUGCAAUUGUCAACCUACUCCACUACAACUUUAGGGAUCUAGGGUGAUGGCUUAAAUCUGCUUCACUGCAACUUCAGGAAGUCAAGAUUCAUCAUAUUCAAUCUGCUCCACUGUAACUUCGAGGAAACGAGAUCUAAAAUUUCAACCUACUCCACUACAACUUUAGGGAGCUAGGUUAGUGACUUAAAUCUGCUUCACUGUAACCUCAGGAAGUCGAGAUUCGUCGUCUUCGAUCUGCUCCACUGCAACUUCAGGGAAACGAGAUCUAAAAUUUCAACCUACUCCACUACAACUUUAGGGAGCUAGGUUAGUGACUUAAAUAUGCUUCACUACAACCUCAGGAAGUCGAGAUUCGUUGUCUUCGAUCUGCUCCACUGCAACUUCAGGGAAACGGGAUCUAAAAUUUUAACCUACUCCACUACAACUUUAGGGAGCUAGGCUAGUGACUUAAAUCUGCUUCACUGCAACCUCAGGAAGUCGAGAUUCGUCGUCUUCGAUCUGCUCCACUGCAACUUCAGGGAAACAAGGUCUAAAAUUUUAACCUACUCCACUACAACUUUAGGGAGCUAGGUUAGUGACUUAAAUCUGCUUCACUGCAACCUCAAGAAGUCGAGAUUCGUCGUCUUUGAUCUGCUCCACUGCAACUUCAGGGAAACAGGAUCUGUGGGAUUCGCCAAUGUCACUACACUAUCUUCUAAUGACAUGAUUUGUAGAAUUGGUUUCAUGUAUCAAAUAAUUGGGAUGCUAUGAUCGAGAUGAAUCAUAUGUCCCUAACUAGAUGUGGUGUCUAUGUCAGAUAAUUAAAAUGGCAUGAUCGAAAUGAAUCAAGUGCUCCUAAAUGAAUGAUUAUGAAUGUGGAAAUGUUAUGAGAGUGAUUCUUUUCUAAAUGCUUAAGGUAUCAUUGCUCAUAACUCGUCCGGGUUCCAUCAUUGAUGUGCUAUCGCGUCUUCUUACUUAGCCGUUAUCUCUGACAGAAAAUUUGAAGAAAUAGUCCUAAUUUGGAUUUCUCUUUUUCUAAUAUUUUCCAACUUUGAACCUGGUUAGUCCUAACUAGUGGCCCUGUUUCAGGUCCUUGUACUAUUUAGAGACUUUACAGAGUAAUAUGCAUAACGUCUUUUGUGUGAAUAUUACAUGUCCAAAAAUUUCAAUUUCAACAAAAAUGCUCGAAAGAGAUUAUAAUAAUGGACAAAUGGCAUUUUAUUAAGCAAAAUUUUGAUGUAAAUACAUAGGAAUAUGAAUCUGAUAAGGUGCAAAAAAUGAGAAAAAGGUGCCUCAGAUAUCGCAGCACGAGUUUCACUAUUCUAAUUUCUCAAAGGUUCCUUUGAACCAAAUGUGUAUUUAAGAGAUCCUACGCAUUUUGUUGAUGCUCCAAGGUGUACUGUUCUUCUGUCUUGUUGAUUUUGGAAGGACAAGACUACCAUAUGCCCCAUAUUCAAAAUUUGAUCUGCCCGUUUUCGGGUUUUCAACUCAAAAGCCAAUUUAGUUCCAAAGUGCCCUUUAUGGGUUUUCACCUUGGCCUCUCCCUUUUUUUUUUGGAUUUCAGAGUGCUCUUUGCGGGUUUUCACUCUGGCCUCUCUUUCUUCAGGUAAAAUACUUCUUGACCGAAUCCGAGUUUACAAGAUUGGGCAAGCUUCUACCAUCCAUCUCAGCUAGAACCAAUGCUCCUCCGGAGAAAGCUUUCUUCACCACAAAAGGUCAUUCCCAAUUAGGCAUCCAUUUCCCUCGAAAAUCCUUCUGUAUGGGAAUGAUCUUUUUCAAAACCAGGUCUCCUUCGUGAAAUUCUCUAGGGUGGACAUUUUUGUCAUAAGCUCGCAUCAUUCGCCUUUGGUACAUCUGACCGUGACGGAUAGCUCUUAGCCUCUUUUCCUCAAUUAGGUUCAAUUGAUUAUAUCGAGACUGGAUCCACUCGGCUUCUUCUAACUUUAACUCUGAAAAUACUCUAAGGGACGGGAUCUCGACUUCGAUAGGCAAAACUGCUUCUAUUCCGUAGACCAAGGAGAAAGGCGUUGCCCCAGUUGAGGUUCUGACUGAUGUUCGAUAAGCAAAGAGGGCAAAUGGUAACUUCUCGUGCCAGUCUCUGUAGGUCUCGGUCAUCUUCCCCACAAUCUUCUUAAUGUUUUUAUUGGCCGCUUCCACUUCCCCAUUCAUCUUUGGGCGAUACGGUGACGAGUUGUGAUGUCUGAUCUUGAAUUGACUGCAGACUUCCGCCAUCGUACUAUUGUUCAAGUUUAAUGCAUUGUCAGAUAUGAUCCUCUCUGGCAUUCCAUAUCGACAUAUGAUCUCAUUUUUUAGAAACUUGCUCACUGCCGACUUCGUCACACUAGCAUACGAAGCGGCUUCUACCCAUUUGGUAAAGUAAUCGAUAACCACAAAAAUAAACCGAUGCCCAUUGGAAGCUUUCGGCGAUAUUGGUCCAAUCACAUCCAUGCCCCACAUAGAGAAUGGCCAUGGAGAAACCAUGACAUGCAGCAGUGAAUGAGGUACAUGGAUUUUGUCUAGAUUUGGCAUUUAUGGCAUCUCUUAGCGUAAUUGACACAGUCUCCUUCCAUGGUGGACCAAUAAUACCCGAAUCUCAUAACUUUCCUAGCCAUUGUAAAGCCAUUAGCGUGUGUCCCACAGACGCCUUCAUGGACUUCUUCCAAGAUUCUCUUAGUCUCUACAGCGUCUACACAUCUUAGUAGUACUUGAUCCUUUCUUAUUUUGUAUAAGAUAUCCCCAUCUAAGACAUAGUCGAUGGCCAAUCUUCUUAGUUUUCUUUUGUCAUUCUCACUUGCCUGGUCCGGGUAUUCAUGAUUCUUCACGUAUUGCAAUAUAUCGUGAUACCAAGGGUGAUCAUCUUUUUCCUCAUCUUCUUCAAUAUUGUAACAGUGGGCCGAAACUUCAUAAAUGCUCAUCUGGAUGGGUUUGACAUCUUCUUGUUUGUUCACCUUGAUCAUGGAGGCUAAGGUAGCCAAAGCAUCAGCCAUCUGAUUUUUAUCUCGUAGAAGGUAGUGGAAGGUAAUGUCAUCAAACUCUUUAACCAAUUCUAGGACUAGCUUCCGAUAAUCAAUUAACUUGGGGUCUCUAGUCUCCCAUUCUCCCCUGAGUUGAUAAAUCACUAGCGCAGAAUCCCUAUACACCUCUAGCACUCUAAUCUUGCGUUCUAUGGCUGCGCGGAUACCCAUGAUGCACGCUUCAUAUUCCGCCAUAUUGUUUGUACAAUCAAAAUCCAAUUUAUUAGUGAAUGGAUAAUGAUCUCCGUUUGGGGAUACCAAGACGGCUCCAAUUCCAUUGCCCACAGCAUUUGACGCCCCAUCGAAGUUCAGUUUCCAAGGAAGUUCUUCCAGAGCAUCUUCUUCAGUGAUAGCAAUACACAUUAGGUCUUCAUUCGGAAAGUCGAAGUUCAGAGGCUCGUAGUCUUCCAAAGCUCUACUGGCCAGAAAAUCUUCUAUUGCACUUCCUUUUACUGCUUUCUGGUUCACAUAGACUAUAUCGAAUUCAGAAAGCAGAAUCUGCCAUCGGGCGAUCCUUCCAUUCAAGGCUGUUGACUCCAUCAUGUACUUUAAAGGGUCCUAUUUUGAUAUGAGCCAAGUGGUGUGAUACAACAUAUACUGCCUCAGCCUUCGGGUUGUCCAAAUUAGGGCACAACACAACUUCUCCAUCGGCAGGUACAUUGUCUCACAUUCUGUGAACUUUUUACUAAAAUAGUAAAUUGCCUUCUCUUUCUUUCCUGACUUAUCAUGCUGACCCAAUACGCAUCCCAUGGAAUUCUCGAAUACUGCCAAGUACAGUAUUAACGGCUUAUCGGGGUUAGGUGGUAUCAGCACCAGGGCAAUGGAUAAGUACUGUUUGACCUUGUCGAAAGCCCUUUGGCAUUCUUUAUCCCAUUCUCUUGGGUUAUGUUUCUUGAGGAGGCGAAAGCAGGGUCACAUUUCUCAGUUAGUUGUGAAAUGAAAUGAGCAAUGUCAUUUAAUCUUCCUAGAAAGCCUCGAACUUCUUUCUGAGUGCGCGGCGGAGAUAGUUCUUGUAUGGCUUUAACUUUGUCUGGAUCGAUCUCGAUCCCUUUCUCACUAACCACAAAUCCGAGUAACUUUCCAGACUUGGCUCCAAAGGCACAUUUGGCGGGGUUGAGUUUUAGCUGAAACUUUCUCAACCUCAAGAAUAAUUUCCUCAGGACUUGUAUGUGCUCCUUCUCCGUUCGAGAUUUAGCGAUCAUAUCAUCGACAUAAACCUCAAUCUCUUUAUGCAUCAUGUCGUGAAAAAGGGUUACCAUGGCUCUUUUAUAGGUUGCCCUCGCAUUCUUUAGUCCAAACGACAUUGCCUUGUAGUAGAACGUCCCCCACAUAGUUACAAAUGUGGUCUUUUCCAUAUCCUCAGGAUGCAUAUUGAUUUGGUUAUAUCCAGAAAAACCGUCCAUGAAUGAAAACAGUGAGUGUCCUGCCAUGUUGUCCACUAGGGUGUCGAUAUGAGGUAGUGGAAAAUUGUCCUUCGGGCUGGCUUUAUUCAAAUAUCUGUAGUCCACACACAUUCGCACUUUUCCAUCUUUCUUAGGGACAGGGACGAUAUUGGCUACCCAAUCUGAGUAUUUUACUACCUUCAGAAAUCCAGCGUUAAACUGCUUUCGAACAUCUUCCUUUAUUUUUAGCAAGACGUCGGGCCUCAUUCUUCGGAGUUUUUACUGAACUGGCUUACACUCUUCUUUUAUGGGGAGUCGGUGCACCACGAUAUCAGUGUCCAACCCAGGCAUAUCUUGGUAUAACCAUGCGAAUACAUCCUUGAAUUCUUAAAGUAAUUCAAUGAGGUCUCACGUAGUGAUACAUGUUCCGAUCUUCACCUCUUGUCCUUCUCCUAAGCUCACAAUUUCAAUUGAUUCUUUGUGAAGUAGGAUUUGUUUCUCAUCUUGUUCUACCAUCCUCAACAAAUCAAGAGAUAGGUUACAGCCUUAGUCAUCUUCAAAAUCUUGAGAAUCAUCCAUACACACAUCUUGCUUGAAAGGAAAUUCUGAGUCGCUAGCAGUGUCACUCGUAUCAUUAAUAUCUAGGGACCUAUUGUGAAGAUGAAGGCAGAUACAAAGAAUCAAAAGAAUUCGAAACAUUUAUUUGCGUGAUAUGAUUAUGAAUGACGAAUGAAAGAAUAUUUAGAAGAAUGUUUCAAAAAUAAAAGAAUUCGAAAGUAAUCAUUUGUAUGGUUAUGAAUAGAAUUGAAAGGACGAGAUAACAUUUACUCAAAAAUGAUAAUAACCGUGCAUUUUAUUGAAAUAUCGCUUUUAAACAUCAGCCUAUUUCACAAAAGAUUCUUAUCACUCCUAGGCCUAGAGCAAUAAGUGUGUUUUGGACAUUACUCUGAAUCUGUUCUAAAAACUACAAGGAUCUCUUCCGCAGUCCAGUUGUCCAGAACACUUCCAGGCGUGUAGAGGCAAAUGUCGGACAAAUUUUCUCUUCCAGUCUCCUCUUCGUAUAUGACGUUGAUGUCUAAACUUUCCGGGCUUUCUUCUAUAGCUCCCGUCAUUGGUGUGUCUCUCUCGGGAUGAAUGAUUCCCCCAGACACAAAUGUUUUCGAUAUGUGGGGGAAUGUCAUUGGUUCCCACUUGAUUUCCUCCCCCGUUAAUCGAGUUCUCCUUCUUUCUUGCUUCUUUUCCAGCUCCCUUCUCCUUUGUUUCACAUCCAGCUUAAAUCCUAAGCCGAAGCAGUCUCCCUUUUCUUUCAGCAUUGGUGUUUCGAUCCUUCUUUGUAGAUGUCUUCCAAGUCCCCUUCCUAGUAGGGCCCCUUUUCUAAUCGUCAACUGGAGGCUCAUCCUCGUGGUUUUAGACAAUUUCGGCACCAGAAUUUUGCUUUCCUCGGCGAUGAACGUCGCGUUAACAAAUUCCAAAGAUCGAAAUGAGCAUUCGAUUGCUUCGUCAUCUAUUUCCAAAUAGGGUGCAUUAUUGCUCACAGUUGCAAUAAUAUCUUCUUCAGCCUUAAUCGUUAUCAACCUCCCCUCCGACACCAGCUUCAAUUUUUGAUGCAACGAGGAAGGCACUGCCCCAGCUGAAUGUAUCCAGGGCCUCCCCAACAAGCAAUUGUAUGAGGGCUUGAUAUCCAUCACGAGAAAAUCCACCUCAUAUGUUUUUGGCCCAAUCUGGAGAGGCACCUCAAUUCUGCCCAUCACCUUUCUUUCCGUGCCAUCGAAUGCCUUCAUGAUGUUCUGGCACUCCUUCAUGUGAGAGCUGUCUAUAGGUAAUCUGUUCAGCGUGGUCAAUGGCAGGACGUUCAAAUCUGAUCCAUUGUCAAUCAGUACGCCUGGCAGCGUGUACCUUUUACAGCGUGUGGUGAUAUGCAGAGCUUUAGUCGACCCCAUGCCCUCGGGUGGUAUCUUGUCGUCAUUAAAGAAGAUAUAAUUUUUGGCACUUAUGUUGUUCACCAACCAGUACAGCUUGUUAACAGAGAUAUCAUUGGCAACAUAUGUCUCGUUUAAGACCUUCAUUAGUGCGCUACGAUAAACUUCCGAGCUUAGAAGCAAGGCCAGCACUGAAAUGCGGGUUGGUUGUUUACGUAGUUGUUCCACCACACUGUAUUCGCUAUGCUUUAGAAAUUUUAAAAACUCCUUGGCCUCCUCUUCGUUAACUGGCUCAUUAACAAGUUUGGCUGCUUUUCCCUUCAUUUCCUCGACCACCUGGGCUUUUCCUUUUGUGGGCUGUUCCUCCUCAUUCACCGUAUCAUAACGCCUCCUGCUACGUGUAUAGGAACCUCUGUCUUGAUCCCCUCUUGAAACACCAACUGGGCUCUCUUUUUCUGGUAUCGUCACACUGCAAUCAUAAUUCCAUGGGACCUUUUUGCUGUCUUUGUUAGGGAAGACUGCAGGUCUUUAGAUUAUAACCCUCGGUGGUAUUUGUUCUCCAGCUUCAUUAUUUUUGGGUCUCGAAAUGAUCACCACGGGAUAAUUAGGUGUUUGAUUUUGCGCCUUUGAUUCUCCUUCGGAUGCGCAUACAUUUCCCUCUAUGGGGCUUUUAGCUUCUUCAUAGAAUUCCAUUUCUUUGUUAUCCAUCAUGUUCUGCACGAUGGCCCUGAAUUCCACACAUUCUUGGAUUUCAUGCCCCACCUCGUCAUGAAACUCACAGUAGUUUCUCUCUUCUUCGGGUUUUUCCCUUGGAUCAAAUGAUAUCAAUCCUCUCUUGGCCAUCUCUUUCCAUACCCGUAUCAACGGGGUCCUGACUUCUGCCACCUCAUACUUGGUCUUCUUGUUCAAGCCUUCACUUAUCCCAUUCACUCAUUGGUCGGUAUGAUUGGGGAGUGGGUUUCCUGCUACAUUGGGCGUGGCUGGGUCAUCAAAUCUCACGAUUCCCACCUUAAUGAGUCUUUCGACCACUUUCUUGAACGCAAUGCAAUUUUCGAUUGAGUGCCCAGUAAUUCCUGCGUGGUAUUCACAUUGGGCAUUUUUGUCAUCCAUUUGGGAUACGGGGGUUGCAGUGGCUCCAAGUAGAAAGGGGAUACUACAUGAGCGUUGAACAGGUUCUGGUACAACUCCCUAUACGUCAUGGGUAUAGAGGUGAAUUGUAGCCUUUCUGUGUUCUUCCUCAUAUUGGAUUCUUGUCUUACAGAGCUUUUUUGAUUGGUAGUCACCGUUUUGGGUUGAUUUACAGUAAUUGACUUAGACUGCCCCUUGUUGAAUGUGCUCGUGUUGUUUACUUCAUUGUCUCUUUUCCUCGGGGCUGACUUCCUAGCAUUCUCUCCUGAUUCUAUCUUGCCGCUCCUUACAGCAUUCUCGAUCAUUUCCCCAAUCAUCACUAUGUCAGAGAAGCUCUUGGUGGCGCUUCCUAACAUAUGCGUGAUAAAAAGGGCUUUCUAGGUGUUAAAAAAGGACAUUGUUGUCUCUUUUUCUAGAAGCGACGGCUGAACUUGUAUGGCCACUUCUCUCCACAUUUGUGCGUACUGUCUGAAGCUUUCAUUUGACUUUUUUUCCAUAUUCUGGAGAGUGAUUCUAUCGGGGGUCAUGUCCAUCACAUGACUGUAUUGCUUCAUAAAGGCCUGGGCCAGGUCCUUCCACGAGUUAAUCUUAGAGCGACUUAAUUGGUUGUACCACUUAGACGCCACCCCGACCAGACUAUCUUGAAAGCAGUAGAUUAAUAGCUGGUCAUUAUUAACAUAUCCCGUUAUACGCCUACAGAACAUAGUGAUAUGAGCUUCAGGGCAACUUGUUCCAUUAUAUUUCUCGAAUUCGGGCAUUUUGAAUUUAGGAGGAAGAACUAAAUCUAGGACCAAACUCAGGUCCUUGGCAUCAAUCCCUUGAUGAUGAUCAGCGCUUUCCAUAGCUUUAAAUUUUUCCUCAAGCCAUCUACACCGUUCUUCCAAUUGUUUUUGCGAAUCCAUCCUCGCCUUUUCUUCUUCAGCAAUUUCAUCCAAGUCGGGAACGGAUAGAUAGUUUGGGUUGUUGACAAAGUUGGAGCCUGAGCCGGUUUGGAAAUUCAUCGGUAUUAAAGCUCCAGCCUGAACCUGCUAGGGUAUGAUCGUGACAGAUGGCUUCGGUAAAUUAAUCUCGGGCUUCAUUGGUACAUGUGUCGGAGUGAAGCCAAAGGGGUAUUGAGGAUCCUCAUUAGUUUCUCCAGCUUUAUCCAUGGGGCCCUUUCCCUUAUCCGUUCCUCCCAACAGCAAUUGGGAUAACUGACUCAUCAUUUCCCUCUGGGACUCCAUCAUUUGCUCUUUCAUCUCUCGCUGAAUCUUGGCUAGCUGCUCUUGCAUCUGAGACUGCAUUUGUUCUUGCAUGUCUUUUUACAUUUGUUCCAAUUUCUCGAGUCUCUUAUCCAUUGAUUUUUUCCUUGUACCAUAGGGGUGUGUGGUUGAUUGGUUUUUACUGGUUUCCAGGUUACUGAAAUAAUUUUUAGCUAAUUAAUUAGAAAACUCUUAUGGCCUUUAAUGCAUAAUGAUAUGAUGUAAUGAAAAUGCAUGAAUGCAAAGGAGGCAUCAAUUUUGAUUCAAUUGCCCUUAGAAAAUUUUAUUUGUAAAUAAAAUCUUUUACAUAAAGUCGAGUUACAAAUAAAAUUUCGCUCUAAUACUCAAAAUUCUAAUUUUUCUAAGCAAUGAGGCCAGCUCCUGCCCGUGCUCCGACUCCAACUCAUAUUUUACGCUUAGUGUGUCUGCCUGAACCGCUAAAGUUUGCAAGUAGUCCGCUACCUCCCGAAUCUGGGUUAUGGCUUCCCCCAUAAGGUAAUCUCUGUUUCUGACUUGGUCUUGUGCAUGGUAAAGCUGCUCCUUCCAACGAUCCUCGUUUGCCUCGAAAAACUGGAUCCGCAUCUCACAAUUUUGUACUGACGCCUCUAACUCUUCUAUUCUUCCUUUCAUUUCUUGUAUUUUGUUCAAGCUUGCCCUCAAUUCUGUCGCAGUGUUGCGGUUUCGGUACUGGUGUAGGGACUUCUCAAGUUCUGCCACUCUAACCUUUAAUUCCCCUCACUCAUUUUUGCUUUCUGACAGACUUCUCUCCAAAUCUUUGUUUUGUGCUUGAGCUUAUCGAAAUUUCCUUUCCCACCGGUCGGUAUUGGCUUUUUCUUCCCGAAUUUCAAGGCGCCAUUGUUCGGAAGUCUUACCUAAACCCGCAGUCCUCAUAGAUAGGCGUAACUUCUUGUAGUCCGUUUUCAAACUGUCUAGAUCUUCUUCAGCCUUAGUUUUUCCUUUUCUCCACUUCUCAGCCUCUGACCUCUGGACAUCAGCCUCUAAUCUUAGGUGCAUCUUCUCUUCCUCUAAUUGUUCAAUCUUCUUCCCAAGCUCCAAAAUCUUCUUCUCGAAAUCUUAUUUUAUAAUCUCCAAUUCUGAUGGGGCGACUUGUAAUUGUUCCUCGAUCGGCCGAGAAUUCUCCAAGCUUGGCCUAGGAAUAUUAUCAUUAAUCCUCUUCUUAAACCAUUCGCUGUACUCGGGUGUUACCAUGGAACCGACGGCUAACCUCUUCAUCCAACCAGUUUACUUCCAAGCAUCCGAUAACUCCCGAACUCUCUUCUUAUAGUGAGCACCUUUAAACGAGAAUUCACUCUGAGCAAGUCCGUGGGUCGUGGGUACAAACUGCCUCGACUUAUAUUGCCUCAAGGCUAUUAACGGAGUAUACCCGGUAGCUCCCCAGAUUCCUAACAAUGGCACCCAAUCGAAGUUACCACAUCGGUACAUUUUCUCAUCAGGAACCAUCCAAUAAGCUCUCCACUCGAUAUCUUCCUCCUUGAGGUUCUGAAAAAUAUCCAUCCACUUCUCCUCCGAGAUAUCCUCUCUCCUCUGUAUAGCUGCCUCUUCUUUUAAAGGGGAAUAACCUUCAGAAAGGACUCGAUAGGAAACCUUGUCUACCUUCCAAAAGUGCCCAUGAAACCAUACCAUCAAUAGUUGAGCACAUCCAAUAAAUUGCCCCUCGCCUGUGUUCCGACAUGAGCUCAAAGAUCUGAACGUUUCUGUCAAUAUUACCGGUACCGGUGUGAUUCCCUUUUCAAGGCGAUCGAACAAGUCGAUGACCGCCUCGUCCACGUGCCUCAAAGCCGUAGGAAAGAUCACUAAUCCGUAGAUGCUUAAGGCAAAUAUAUCGACCCUCUUUCUUUCGUCUGGAUGAGUCAAGAUCAAAUCUCGCAAAUUCUCCCAAGGGACACAUUUGCUAUCUCCUUUUUGCUGAAUCCGAGCAGUGACCCAAGGCUCGCUCAUCCCAGAAACGCUCAUCAGUUUCUUCACGAAAGCCUGAUUACUAAAAACCCAGGCAUAAGUCUUCCAGACCUGAAUCUUUGAACAUCUAAGCAGCGUAGUGUAUUCCUCCAUGGUAGGUACCAAAUCCACUUCUCCAAAAGUGAAACACUUGUACACAGAAUUCCAAAACUGCACCAAGGCUCGGAACAAAUGUUUAUCCACUCUAAUAUCUAGCAGGUAGGAUAUGUCACCAUAGCUUUGGUAAAACAACUACUUGAUUCCUCCAUUCCAACUAGCCCAAAUGUCUCUCAACUCUUGCAGCUCAUUUUGUACUACAUUGACGCGAGUGAAAUCCUGCAGCUCCAACACAUACCCUUUUGCCAAGCUAUCCCCCUUUUCAGAUUGUAGCCUCUCCGACCAAGCACGAAGGGCCGCAUUAUCCUCGACUUUACUAAGAAAUUCAUUCUCCAUGUCAAAUUUUCUAACUUAGUAAUUGAAUGUGGAUUAACGCCUCCUUUAGUAUGUAAUGUCAUGCAAAAAAGACAAUCAAAACAAAACACCGGUUAGUAUCAAAUAAUAGCGAUAAAAUGCAAGCACAUAAGCGAUAAUCAUAACAUAUAUACGGGUAAGUACUAAGGCUCGACGCGGCUUCACCCAAUGAUAGCUCCUAAGGUUCACUAUAUGUGGUUUAGUUCUAGGAAAAAGGGUACCCAAACCAGCAGAUUCCUCAAUCCUCACCCAUUACAGGCUCAUAUAGAUCGAGUUCGGUUCGGGGGGAUACAUUUCCCUAUGACCAUGCAGAGAUGAAAAUCUCACGAAAUCAUAGGUACGGAUGUACCCCGGAAGCAAUCCACUAGCCCAUGCGGAGGUGAAAACCUCACGAAAGCGUAGUUUCUUACUCCCACUUAGAAGGUGUGACCACAGUGGUCAUGCAAUAAAAUGCAAUGCUAUUCUACAAGACCCGCACCGAAACAAACAUUCAAUCAAAUGCAAUCGAAAGAUACAUGAUUUUUAAAACAGAUUUUGAUUUUUGACAAAAGGACAGCAAAUAAUCAAUUUUUAUGGCUAGACUCUCUUAGGUUCCCCAGCGGAGUCGCCAAGCUGUCGAAACCACCCUUUUUUCAAACAUUUUAAAAUUUUAAAUUUUAAUGAAAAUACGGGGGAAUCGAAUUUUUAAAAAUAAAACGUGGAGUCGCCACCGAUCUUCUAUUUUAGUGUGAUCGGAUCACUUAAAAGAUAAGGUUAGUUUAAUGAAACAUUUUUUGGUUUAUUAAGACUCGGUUUUGGUCUUACGAAAAUGUGAGAAAAUGGGUUCGGGAGUUGGUUACGCAUGAGGAAGGAUUAGCACCCUCACUACGCCCAAAAUCGGUACCAAAUCGAUUAAAUACUGUCCUUAUGUCAAAGCUUAAAAAAUGUUUUUGAAAUGUGGUUCUUAUCAAUAACGUUUAAAUAACCCGAGUGGGUUAUCAAAAUCUUCUUGUUUCGAUGUCCGAAAGUCUACAAUUUGAAAUUAACAAAAGGAUGCCCAACUGUUUGGUCCAACGAAAAACCAAAACCCAGCACAGUAGGGCACGAUUCCUCGAAUUUCCAAACAUUGUCCAUUCUUACCUUAGAAAAUAAGGGUGAAAUUCCGAAGGGAUCCUUGAUGGUUUUGAGCAAAUGGAAAAGCGCAACCCAGCACGAUAGGGCUCGAUUCUCAAAUUGCCAAACAUCGAACAUCACCUUCGUUUUGAAAGGUUUUUAAUAAUUAUGAAUAAAGACCUAAAGGAAUACUCGAUUGUUUUGAACAAAUGAGAAAUCACAACCCAACACGAUAAGACAUGAUUCUCGAAUUGUCAAACACCGAGUAUUGCCCUCAUUUUAAAGGAUUUCUAGAAAAGCCGAGUGAAAUUUUGAAGGGAUAUUUGAUUAUUUUAAACAAACGAGAAAUUGCUACGCAACACGUUAGGGCAUGAUCCCACGAAUUACCAAAUACCAGAUAUUGCAUUCAUUUUAGGGAUUUUAAAAGACACGAGCGAAAUUUUAAAGUGAUAUUCGAUUAUUUUGAGCAAAUGCAAAAUUGCAACCCAACACGUUAGGGCACGAUUCCGCGAAUUGCCAAACAUCAAAUCUCAUCUUUGUUUAAGGGAUUUUAAAAGAUAUGAAUGGAAUUUCGAAGGGAAAUUCGAUUAUUUUGAGUAAAUGCAAAAUUGCAACCCAACACAUUAUGGCAUGAUUCCGCGAAUUGUCGAACAUCAAAUUUCGUCUUCAUUUUGAAGAAUUUUUGGAAGAAUACUUAAAAACAUAUUAAUUCGAUUUGAAAUAAGAUGACAUUAAUCGUAAAAAAUUGGGUUUUAGAACCACAUUUCAAAAAUCAAAAGGAAAAUAAUGAAUGGGGUAAUAUGUACAUGCGAGACGCAAUGCUUAACGAAUGAAAAUAUUAAUCAAUUAGCAGAACAAGUAAUUAAAUAUAAUUAGUCUAAGUUAACCUAAUUUCAAUCGCGUAAUAAUAAUCGUCAUGUCAAUAAGAUGAAUACCACGUGAUGAGAAUGUAUAUGCUACGAUAUAGAACAAUCGACGAAAUAUAUGCAAAACGGAAUAGAAUUUAAGAGUCAAAGUAGUAUAAAACGAUGUCGGAACAAAGGCGAUCUAAUGAACCAAUAAUUUAUGCUACAUGCGAAUUAAUGAAUUGAGACACCUUAAAUCUAAAAAAACUAGGGAUAUAUAUACUUGAUACAUAUUAUAAAAUGAAUGAAUUAAUCGGAUAUCAUGCCAAAACAUUAAAUAAUAUUGGUUUUAAAAAAAAUGAAGAAUUAUAGUAUGAAAAUUUUAAAAUAUGUGUAGAUAUAUUAUGAAUAAUAAUAAUAAUAAAUGUAUAAUAUGAUAUAGUCUUUAAAAAAACGUAAUGGUUCCACAAAUUAUGUGUAUAUAUAAAUAAUUUUUAAAAGUAACUAUUUGUAAAACAUGGAAAUACAUGCAUGCUUAUGAAUGUAAAAAAAAAUAUAUAUAUAUAUGAUAGCUUCAAGAGUGUGUUUGUAUAUGCGUAAUAAGGAAAACUAUGUAAAAUACAUAAAUUAAAUAAUAUCUAUCUAGAUCAAAUAUAAAUAUUAAUAUAUACAUAUAUACAUAUAAUAAUAAUAAUUUAAGAGAUGCGUUUUGUAGGAUUUUAAAAUACAAGGAAAAAGAAUUGAUAAUGAUAUAUGUACAUAUGAAAUAAGACCAAUUUUAAUACAAAAUAUACAUGUACGUAAACAAAAUGGACUAAAAACAUACUAAUGUGUGCAAAGUAUAUUUAUUUUUUAAUGAAAAUAUAUAUAAGGUUUAUAUAUAUACACGCAUGGAUUCAAAAGAAAGAAUGUAUGUGUCUAAAGGUAAGUACAUGUAAAUUUAUAGAUAGGGUAAACUAUAAAAAUAGUCACUUUUGUUUGCCUCAUGUUACAUUUUAGUCACUUAUGUUUGAAAUGUUACGAUUUAGUCACCUAUGUUAUUAUUUUGUUACGAAGUGAUCACUCUUCCGUUAAGUUUUGUUAUCUCCUUAACGGUAAUCCUACGUGGCAGUCCAACUAGAUAUUACUGAAUCUGCUAAUACAUACUUCAUCCGGAUAAAGUAUGCAUUAUUAAAAUUAAAUUAAAAUAUUAAAUAAGAAAUAAAAUUAUGAAACAAUAUGUUAUUUGGAAAAUUACUAUUAUUGUAAUGAGAUACAUGUUUUAUUAGGUAUAAGUAUUUAAAAUUUUGCUUUUGUAAUGUGAUACAUGCGUAAAUAUAUAUUAUAUAUAUAAUCAUAUUAGUGAAUCUGCUAAUACAUACUUCAUCCGGAUGAAGUACGUAUUAGCAGAUUCAGUAAUAUCUAGUUGGACUGCCACGUAGGAUUACCGUUAGGGAGAACUUAACGGAAGAGUGAUCACUUUGUAACAAAAUAAUAACAUAAGUGACAAAAACGUAACAUUUCAAACAUAAGUGACUAAAAUGUAACAUGAGGCAAACAAAAGUGACUAUUUUUAUAGUUUAACCUUAUAGAUAAUGUAUAUACAUACUCAAUAACUUAUAUGAAUCAAAAGCAUGCACUAAUAUCCAUGGAUACAAAAUAGUUUAAAUCCAAUGUGAAACACAUAUAAAGCAUGUUUGAAAUAAAAAAAUGUUGAAAUGCAAUGAUAUAUUUAUAGAGUCCAAAGCCAUUAUGCAUAAAAGUAGAUUAACAUUAUUAUAAUAUAUAUAUAUGUAUAUAUAAUAAUAUAGAUGAAACCAAUGUUUAAAAUGUACAAAACAUGAUACUAGGAUUGCUAAAAGAGAACAGUUUACAACAAUGGAAUAACUAUGACUUAAAAUUAAAAAUAAUUAAUUAAGAACACACAAAAGGGCUACGAACUAAAGGACUUAAUCGAAAUUAAGCUAAAACAAGAGGGGAAAAUUAAGAAAAUAGAGCAAAUAAAAAGGGGACCUAUGCGCGAGGCGCGAUAAUGCAGGAGGAUCUAAACUGGAAAUAUUCCAGUCCUUACAAUGCAGCAUUAAAACGCGGACUUGAUCGCAAACACACGCAAAUUAUGGGUGAAAUUUAAAAAAGAAAAAAAAUGAGAACAUUGAUUGAUUUGAAAAUGGAGCUAAAAGGAAGGGACCAAGCCCGUAAAUAGCCCUCACGGCAAAAACGCGCGGGUCCUCGGGGCACCUGGGGACGGGUCGGGUCAGGCUCUCUAGACGGUGUCGUUUUAAGGCUACAGAUCAUGCCUUAAAUGGCACCGUUUCGCAUCACCGAAUAAAUGAGGACAAGGCCUCUGAAAACCCUAGGCAUUUCAAUCAAAGCAACGGAGAAAGGGGGGAACCCAAAGGUUCUGCGCCGUUCGGCCAUCAUUUCAUCACUGCGACGAUGAAUGACGACCUUCGGUGACCACCCCCUUUUUGCUCCUUCAUUCGAUCCGGCAUGGAACUCAUCGAUUUAAGCCCCGAAAUCCCAUCUCCGACUUCGAUUUCAGUGAAGGAGACAAGGUCUUCAAUGGCUCGUAUGCAAAGG
rnacentral:lncRNA from 1 species